CUUUGGUGGAUUGUGACACCCCCUCAGCUGCCCUCUCACAUGAAGCUCCUGUGGAUGUGGCUUGUGGGGUUGGGGAGUCCAUAGCUGGGCCAGUCAGUCCAGCUGCUGCCAGCAUGGAAGAUGCUUCUGGUGACUUUUUCCAGAGCCUCAUGGCACAAAAUUGCCAUGGAAGAGGCCGUGAGUUCAGCACAGCAUCUGAACAAGCCAUGGGUACCAGGCCUUCACAAGACAAGAGCAGAAAUAGCACAGCCAGGCUUGGAGCAGCAUGGACAGCUGGGAAGCCUGAGCUUGCUCCAGUCAAAGUGCAACAUUUCUGAAAUUAAAUGAAACCAUAGGCACAUAUAAAAAGUGCUAAAUAGAGAUACAGCUUUGCAAUCACAGACAAGGUGGCAAGUUCUAUCUCCAAUAAGAUGAUUCACAACAGAAAUUAAUACAGC